GAUGAACGCUGGCGGCGUGCCUAAUACAUGCAAGUCGAGCGAACAGACGAGGAGCUUGCUCCCCUGACGUUAGCGGCGGACGGGUGAGUAACACGUGGAUAACCUACCUAUAAGACUGGGAUAACUUCGGGAAACCGGAGCUAAUACCGGAUAAUAUAUUGAACCGCAUGGUUCAAUAGUGAAAGACGGUUUUGCUGUCACUUAUAGAUGGAUCCGCGCCGCAUUAGCUAGUUGGUAAGGUAACGGCUUACCAAGGCAACGAUGCGUAGCCGACCUGAGAGGGUGAUCGGCCACACUGGAACUGAGACACGGUCCAGACUCCUACGGGAGGCAGCAGUAGGGAAUGUUCCGCAAUGGGCGAAAGCCUGACGGAGCAACGCCGCGUGAGUGAUGAAGGUCUUCGGAUCGUAAAACUCUGUUAUUAGGGAAGAACAAAUGUGUAAGUAACUAUGCACGUCUUGACGGUACCUAAUCAGAAAGCCACGGCUAACUACGUG
rnacentral:rRNA from 1 species